rnacentral:ncRNA from 1 species
GACGACCGGCUGGGCGACUAUGCGCCCGGCCCACAAGUGGAGGCUCCGAUCUCCCACCUGGCUGCCCCUCGGGGCGGCGGGUCACCGGUCAGGCGGUGCCCAUCGUUCCGUACGGACGAUGGAGCCGCCCGAUGCGCCCCGCGGAGGACCGCGGCGGUGUUCCGGUUGUUUCAGGAGCCCCGCCUGUGUCCCGUCGGGGCAUUUUUC